UACGAAGGGUGCAAGCGUUACUCGGAAUUACUGGGCGUAAAGCGUGCGUAGGUGGUUCGUUAAGUCUGAUGUGAAAGCCCUGGGCUCGACCUGGGAAUGGCAUUGGAAACUGGCGACCUAGAGUGCGGUAGAGGGUAGUGGAAUUCCCGGUGUAGCAGUGAAAUGCGUAGAGAUCGGGAGGAACAUCUGUGGCGAAGGCGACUGCCUGGACCAGCACUGACACUGAGGCACGAAAGCGUGGGGAGCAAACAGG
rnacentral:rRNA from 1 species